CCAGUUGUAAUGAAGCCGCCCCGCUUGGUCCAGCUGGUCUCAUUCCACGAGGUCCAAGUUCAAAAAUAGUACCAUCGUCGUACCGUUUCGAUUGGAUCCAUCCUCCUAAUCUCGCAGAUGAUUCCAGUACAGUGAUGUUCUUUGGAUUUGCGACCUUCCCAAGUAAGCGAUAUGCGGCAGAAAGUCCUGCUAUACCUCCACCAAGUAUCAGAAAUUUGCCACUUUCCGCCAUCAACAAUUCAAAUCACAGUUCUGUGUCAACACUCAAAUCAAUCAAUAAUCACUGCACAACAGCACAACUCACUGCACGAACUAUGAAAUUCCUUACUUUUCGGAAAAAUUCCUUCCAUUCAAUGCGUCAUUUUAAUUUUACCGGUAUAUAAAAGUGCAGCAAUAAAAAGUACUGUAAUGAAA